AAGGUAGAAUUUGAACAUUCAAUUUUCAGCUUUGCAACUCUCAGAGCACAACAGUUUCAGGUGUGGAAACCAACUGUAGGCAAGCUCUUUUAAAAACCUGAAUUUUAUACACCGUAAAUUCUAAAACAGAGCAGACACUUCUGCGUUAUUGUUCCAGUUUCUGAAGGGCACCACAAGGCAUCAGGGUCUCUUUCAAAGUCACUGGCUGCAACAAUUCUGUCUUCCUAACUUUGGUAGCCCCCUCUGGUGGUUCUCUAGCCUUUGUACGCACUGAGGCACACCACUGUUUGUACAAUGACUUCUGACAUUAAAUCCUGUCAUGGCCUAAGUAGCAUGAAGCAGCUGUUCCCUGGGUACCUCAUGUCUCCUUGGCAUGGGAGGUUUCCCAGUGACUUCUUCGUGCCCCCAUUCAGGAGAGCCUCCAGAGCUCUCGGCACAAAGGGCCCCUAACUCUGGGUCCCACACAGGAGGCCACAUCUGGAAGCUCUAUUCCUCUAGCUCCCUCUGCUGGAAACCAAAGUGACAGUUUGUUGCAAAGACCUGUAGAAACAGAUUAUGUAUAAACUCAUUCUUGUACGCAUUUACUUAAUUUAGAACCUGGGACUUUUUAACAGUCGUUGUCCAGACCUUUUAUGGUGGGUGAUGGACUAUGCAGCAGUGCUGAAGGAGCACUGUUUCUUUCUAUAGGACUAUAGGAAGAAAAGGAUUAGUAUACAUAAUUGUGUACAUCAAGACAAAUUUAUAAUAAAAAAAGAAAGAUGAAGGGCCCAGAAACCUGCAUUUUAUUGACACUGUCAUUUUCCACAGGGAAUCUUAGGCAGACGUCACCUGUUUUCUUUUAAGUAAUGAGAGAAGCCCACUUGUAUUCCUGAAUCAUUUUUUGAGAAAAGCACCAGAGACGAUUGACAGUCACACUUUUUAAAAUAAAACAGUGACUACCUCUAGCCUACAUCUCCCCACCCUCAUCUACCUGCCCAAUGGUUGUCAGUUCCCCUAAAGUCACCGUCUCCUUCUAUUCUGGUAUUACCAUUAGAAUUGAAAUUUUCAAACAGGAAAAAAAAAAAAGUCUAGUUACAAAUGAGUGCAUGGCAUCCCGAAUGAAGCCCUUUGACUGUGAUUUCUAAUUUUCUGUUCAAUCCAUACUGCACAGAUACAAGGAUGAACCACCAUUUUGGUUCCCAAGUUUUAUUCAAGAAUUCGUAUAAAAUAUUCCACAUAAGUGAAUUUUAAUCCUCGUCUUCCUCCUCUUGUUUGUUCUGGUUAAUUUGGAAGUAACGUAAUUCAUAACCCCUUUUGCUGUUAGCAGUUACGCACGUCCAAUCACGUAGAUUGUUCUUCUUCAAAUAUUUCUUAUUUCAAAUACCUUUUGGGAAGAGGCAUCUCGGAAGUCAUGGUGAUCUUGCCCUUGCUCCUUUUGAUCACAACCCCUCCAAUGACAUUCCUAGCUUUUCUGCUCACUUUGAUCCUCUCUUGCAAAAACUGCUCAAAAUUGGCAGCAUCCAUGAUCCGUCUUCUAUGGGGUGGGUGCAAUCAAGAGUGAACUUCAGAACCUGCUUCUUUUUUUUUUGCCCCCCUUUACCACAAGGUUUUUCAUGGAUGCCAUGGUGGCAGUGAAGGCAGAAAGGGCAUUUUUUUUUUCUGUUGCCUAGGCUGGAGUGCAGUGGCACAGUCUCGGCUCACUGCAGCCUCCAACUCUUGGGCUCAAGUGAUCCUCCCACUUCAGCCUCCCAAGUAAGUAGCUGGGACUACAGGCGCAUGCCACCACUGCACUUCAGCCUGGGUGAUAGAUUGAGACUCUGUCAAACCAACAAAGACAUACCUACAUUCAUGCAUGCAUAUAUGAUGAAAACUCAGGUGAAACUCCUAUAAAAACUCUGUUUAUGGUUUGCUCUUACAUAAUUAAUUAUUUGAGAAGUCACUUGUUAAAUGUGUCUCUCUUGCUGGGCUGUAACCUAAUUAAGGGUAAAGACUCUAUCUGCUGUGUCCUCUACUGCCUCUUGGGUGCCUACCAGAGUGAUGGCACUGAAAAGGCACACAUUUACUGAUAUAAAUUAAUAGAUUGUGUUUGACAUUUUUCCCCUUUUUUUCUCACUACAAAGUAAUAUCUACUUUUAUUAAGCAGGAAAAUAUAAUUAUCACCUCUAGCUAUUGCUGUUUCUAACAUUUUAGCACCUUUCUGGCCUUUUUACUAUGCUUGUUUAAGAUGUUGAGACCAUAUUAUAUGUACAGAUUUGUAUCCUGCUUGUUUUUGAUUUUCAAUAUGUUUUAUGUCACUGAAGACUUUUCAUAAACAUCCUUUUAAAAAACUGUGAUAUUCCGUCAUAUGAAUAUGUCACUUUUUAAAGUCAUUUCCAAAAUUUUAGCAGUUACUUUGUACCUGAUUGUUUUGCUAUUAUAAGUAAUCCUGAAUUAAAUAUCUUUUAAUAUUU
rnacentral:lncRNA from 1 species